rnacentral:rRNA from 1 species
UACCCGCAGCCCAAGUGGUAGUCGCUUUUAUUGGGCCUAAAGCGUCCGUAGCCGGUUUGGUAAAUGCCUGGGUAAAUCGUGGGGCUUAACCUCACGAACUCCGGGUAGACUGCCAGACUUGGGGCUGGUUGAGGGAGAGGGUACUCCAGGGGUAGGGGUGAAAUCCUGUAAUCCUUGGAGGACCACCGGUGGCGAAAGCGCUCUCCUAGGACGGGUCCGACGGUGAGGGACGAAAGCCAGGGGAGCAAACCGGAUUAGAUACCCGGGUAGUCCUGGCCGUAAACGAUGUGGGCUUGGUAUUGGGGGUCCCACGAGGGCGCCCAGUGCCGUAGCGAAGGCGCUAAGCCCACCGUCUGGGGAGUAUGGUCGCAAGGCUGAAACUUAAAGGAAUUGGCGGGGGAGCACAGCAACGGGAGGAGCGCGCGGUUU